AAAUGACGGUACCUGACUAAGAAGCCCCGGCUAACUACGUGCCAGCAGCCGCGGUAAUACGUAGGGGGCAAGCGUUAUCCGGAUUUACUGGGUGUAAAGGGAGCGUAGACGGAUGGACAAGUCUGAUGUGAAAGGCUGGGGCUCAACCCCGGGACUGCAUUGGAAACUGCCCGUCUUGAGUGCCGGAGAGGUAAGCGGAAUUCCUAGUGUAGCGGUGAAAUGCGUAGAUAUUAGGAGGAACACCAGUGGCGAAGGCGGCUUACUGGACGGUAACUGACGUUGAGGCUCGAAAGCGUGGGGAGCAAACAGGAUUAGAUACCCUGGUAGUCCACGCGGUAAACGAUGAAUGCUAGGUGUCGGGGAGCAAAGCUCUUCGGUGCCGCCGCAAACGCAUUAAGCAUUCCACCUGGGGAGUACGUUCGCAAGAAUGAAACUCAAAG
rnacentral:rRNA from 1 species